GACGAACGCUGGCGGCGUGCUUAACACGUGCAAGUCGAACGGAAAGGCCCUGCUUUUGUGGGGUGCUCGAGUGGCGAACGGGUGAGUAACACGUGAGUAACCUGCCCUUGACUUUGGGAUAACUUCAGGAAACUGGGGCUAAUACCGGAUAGGAGCUCCUGCUGCAUGGUGGGGGUUGGAACGUUUCGGCGGUUGGGGAUGGACUCGCGGCUUAUCAGCUUGUUGGUGGGGUAGUGGCUUACCAAGGCUUUGACGGGUAGCCGGCCUGAGAGGGUGACCGGCCACAUUGGGACUGAGAUACGGCCCAGACUCCUACGGGAGGCAGCAGUGGGGAAUAUUGCACAAUGGUCGGAAGCCUGAUGCAGCAACGCCGCGUGCGGGAUGACGGCCUUCGGGUUGUAAACCGCUUUCGCCUGUGACGAAGCGUGAGUGACGGUAAUGGGUAAAGAAGCACCGGCUAACUACGUG
rnacentral:rRNA from 1 species